GGCUCUGUGGCGCAAUGGAUAGCGCGUUGGACUUCUAGUCAGGCACGUGAGAUGCAAUUCAAAGGUUGUGGGUUCGAGUCCCACCAGAGUCG
rfam:Larimichthys crocea isolate SSNF unplaced genomic scaffold scaffold23, whole genome shotgun sequence.